UCAGAAGUGCGAAUGCUGACAUAAGUAACGAUAAAGCGGGUGAAAAGCCCGCUCGCCGGAAGACCAAGGGUUCCUGUCCAACGUUAAUCGGGGCAGGGUGAGUCGACCCCUAAGGCGAGGCCGAAAGGCGUAGUCGAUGGGAAACAGGUUAAUAUUCCUGUACUUGGUGUUACUGCGAAGGGGGGACGGAGAAGGCUAUGUUGGCCGGGCGACGGUUGUCCCGGUUUAAGCGUGUAGGCUGGUUUUCCAGGCAAAUCCGGAAAAUCAAGGCUGAGGCGUGAUGACGAGGCACUACGGUGCUGAAGCAACAAAUGCCCUGCUUCCAGGAAAAGCCUCUAAGCAUCAGGUAACAUCAAAUCGUACCCCAAACCGACACAGGUGGUCAGGUAGAGAAUACCAAGGCGCUUGAGAGAACUCGGGUGAAGGAACUAGGCAAAAUGGUGCCGUAACUUCGGGAGAAGGCACGCUGAUAUGUAGGUGAAGUCCCUCGCGGAUGGAGCUGAAAUCAGUCGAAGAUACCAGCUGGCUGCAACUGUUUAUUAAAAACACAGCACUGUGCAAACACGAAAGUGGACGUAUACGGUGUGACGCCUGCCCGGUGCCGGAAGGUUAAUUGAUGGGGUCAGCGCAAGCGAAGCUCUUGAUCGAAGCCCCGGUAAACGGCGGCCGUAACUAUAACGGUCCUAAGGUAGCGAAAUUCCUUGUCGGGUAAGUUCCGACCUGCACGAAUGGCGUAAUGAUGGCCAGGCUGUCUCCACCCGAGACUCAGUGAAAUUGAACUCGCUGUGAAGAUGCAGUGUACCCGCGGCAAGACGGAAAGACCCCGUGAACCUUUACUAUAGCUUGACACUGAACAUUGAGCCUUGAUGUGUAGGAUAGGUGGGAGGCUUUGAAGUGUGGACGCCAGUCUGCAUGGAGCCGACCUUGAAAUACCACCCUUUAAUGUUUGAUGUUCUAACGUGGACCCGUGAUCCGGGUUGCGGACAGUGUCUGGUGGGUAGUUUGACUGGGGCGGUCUCCUCCUAAAGAGUAACGGAGGAGCACGAAGGUUGGCUAAUCCUGGUCGGACAUCAGGAGGUUAGUGCAAUGGCAUAAGCCAGCUUGACUGCGAGCGUGACGGCGCGAGCAGGUGCGAAAGCAGGUCAUAGUGAUCCGGUGGUUCUGAAUGGAAGGGCCAUCGCUCAACGGAUAAAAGGUACUCCGGGGAUAACAGGCUGAUACCGCCCAAGAGUUCAUAUCGACGGCGGUGUUUGGCACCUCGAUGUCGGCUCAUCACAUCCUGGGGCUGAAGUAGGUCCCAAGGGUAUGGCUGUUCGCCAUUUAAAGUGGUACGCGAGCUGGGUUUAGAACGUCGUGAGACAGUUCGGUCCCUAUCUGCCGUGGGCGCUGGAGAACUGAGGGGGGCUGCUCCUAGUACGAGAGGACCGGAGUGGACGCAUCACUGGUGUUCGGGUUGUCAUGCCAAUGGCACUGCCCGGUAGCUAAAUGCGGAAGAGAUAAGUGCUGAAAGCAUCUAAGCACGAAACUUGCCCCGAGAUGAGUUCUCCCUGACCCUUUAAGGGUCCUGAAGGAACGUUGAAGACGACGACGUUGAUAGGCCGGGUGUGUAAGCGCAGCGAUGCGUUGAGCUAACCGGUACUAAUGAACCGUGAGGCUUAACCUUACAACGCCGAAGGUGUUU
rnacentral:rRNA from 1 species